rnacentral:rRNA from 1 species
AGUGAACGCUGGCGGUAGGCCUAACAUAUGCAAGUCGAACGGCAGCACAGUAAGAGCUUGCUCUUACGGGUGGCGAGUGGCGGACGGGUGAGGAAUACAUCGGAAUCUACUUUUUCGUGGGGGAUAACGUAGGGAAACUUACGCUAAUACCGCAUACGACCUACGGGGGAAAGCAGGGGAUCUUCGGACCUUGCGCGAUUGAAUGAGCCGAUGUCGGAUUAGCUAGUUGGCGGGGUAAAGGCCCACCAAGGCGACGAUCCGUAGCUGGUCUGAGAGGAUGAUCAGCCACACUGGAACUGAGACACGGUCCAGACUCCUACGGGAGGCAGCAGUGGGGAAUAUUGGACAAUGGGCGCAAGCCUGAUCCAGCCAUACCGCGUGGGUGAAGAAGGCCUUCGGGUUGUAAAGCCCUUUUGUUGGGAAAGAAAAGCAGCAGGUUAAUACCCCGCUGUUCUGACGGUACCCAAAGAAUAAGCACCGGCUAACUUCGUG